CCCACGUACGAGCAGGGAUGAUGUCACUGGCAGCCAAUCAAAAGUCUCUCCAGGAGGCUUGAGGAAGAAGACACGGUGCCUUCACGUGCUGCCCGUAAAGUCUUAACGUACAGUAGCCUGAAGCGGAGCCGCCAACAAGACAAGGAGAUGAGAAUAUACCCUAAUAGAGCUACUUUGUGCUGAGGUGGCAGAAAAAAAUAAAAUAUCCUGCCAACUAAUAGAUAAAGAAACAGGCAAACAAUUGUGGCCAAAACUGUGACCUUCUUGGAAGAGACUGACAAAGUGGAAGCCUACAAUGCAGGGAAGCUGAUGAGUAUGCAAAUGACUGGAGACAAAGAGAGAGAGACACAGAAGGAGAGAAAUGAAAGCAGAGAGGCAGUAGUGGAGAGUGAUAUGUGUCAUUUGGUGAUGUCAUGCAUCCAAGCGUCCAGGGUGACAGCGGCGGUGAUAACGGCCUGAGUCAGAGGAUGACAUCAACGCUACAAGCUGUCAGACAGGUUGUGAAAGGGCUUAGUCCCACGCUCCCAUUGUUCUCUGGUUAAUGCUGUUAUUCAGCCUGCCACCGGCCUUACUAUUUGUUAAUCUGACCUAACACACAGUUAAACACAGGACAAAGACACACAAACAGCAAAUUUAAAGGCCAGCAUAGGAAAAAAAAAGGCCAGCAGCAAAAUGUCAUCCUGUAAUACACCAUCACAGCUUUUUGAAUACAAAAGAAGAAGCACACAGUUUUGAGUGAGGUCAGGCAAUGAAAAUCUACUAGCAGACAGAUCCAACAGAGGUUACAAAGUUUGAAUUGAUUAGCUCAGGGUUUGGCUUAUAUAUCAUGUAGACUAAUGUUGAAUUUGAAGUGUAAAACAUAUAGAUUCAUUAGAGGAAAAGCCUGGUGAUAGUCUACAUUUUCCUUAGUGUCCUAUGAAAAGACCAAAAUCAACAAUGAACUGAUCCUUCUAACAAGUAUUGCCUGUAUAGCCAAACCAUAUCCUAAAAAUAGUUCCCCACAAAGUCACUAUUUACUCCUGUUUGAGUAAUAAAGCUAAUACUUUUUUUUUUAAAGAUUUACCCACAGACAGGGUAAGGAAGUCAGAAAGUAUUGAAAGACAAACUAACUAGAAUAUCACAAUUUCACCAUCUUAGUUUAGUGUGUUAGCAUGCUAACAUUUGCUAAAUUAGCACUAAACACAAAGUACAGCUGAGGCUGAUGGGAAUGUCAUUAGUUUUGCAGGUAUUUUGUCAUGAACCAAAGUAGUCGACAAAUUUUGACCUCAUGAUGAUGCUAGUGGAAAAGUCAGUGGCUCACCAAAGUUAUUGCAAUUCAUCCUGAGGGGGACCUGAAUGUCUGAACCAAAUUUGAUGCCAAUCCAUCUAAAUGUUGUUGAGACAUUUCAGUCUGGACCAAAGUGGUGUACCAACCGAAAAACAUUGCCAUACCGGUAGCAUGACUAAAAAUAUGGAUCCAAAUACCUGGGGAUCCGGAUGACAAACACCUGAUCAGCUUUAAUCCAUUAUUUCCACAGUUUGCUGAGGUUCAAAGCUUUUCCACUAAUGCAUUUCAUAACCUGUCAUCCUUUAGGCAUUAAAUAUCCAAAUGACAAAUUUUAACUGAUGUCAACGUUACAUAAUUUUGAAAAGUGCAACCACAUUAUCUCCACUAACAGCCAUCCAGACAAACAGGGGGUGAGAGGAAGUGCUGACUGAGAGAAGGAUGAGUAAAGGCAGAAAUGUACAGACAGACAGGCAGACAGGCCACGCUCUCUAGCUCCCACAUUCAUUCAAAAUGCACCGGGCUUUGUAGAAUUUUCCAACCACACAACCCCCCACUGUGGAGACCCAGUACACUGACAAACAAGGCUUCUUUGGGGUCAGGUUGAGCUUGUUUGUUCGUCACUCACUGUACUUAAACAGAAUUACAGAUAAGUACAUUAUGAGUCAGUGGGCACAUAUACACAUGAGUCAGUGUGAUGUAGGUGGUUAACAGGUUAGUUUCAGGAAAACCGUUUCAAAGAAUCAUCCAGCCUACCUGGUAUUCUACCUGUGGAGUUUCAGAGGAUUGCACCAAGUGUGAAAUAUGCCUCAUUUGCAGACUGCAGGUUUGAUAAGUGAGUGUGUAUAUGUCGGUGGAUGAUAUCACCGUGAUGAUAUCACCUCUCAAAUGGUAUAAAUACCCAUUGUGUUUUCUUUAUUUGAAAAUCUAAGAUUACAUGUUUACUGAAAACUAGAGUCAUUAUCCUCCUCUGUAUAGUCAUAACACUCACCAGUAGGACAAGAAAAGGGCAUAAAUUAAAAGAUUACAUCAUGUGAAUCCACACAAAAGAGGCCCACAUGUUGAAUAAAAGCAAAUUUGCUUUUCAGAGAGAAGACAUUACAUCAAAUACAUGCAGUAUGUUGUAGGUGGCUGGAGUGCCCCCUGCAGGAAAGGGCUUUAAAAACUCACUCAUGUAAGAAAUACUUUAUUUAUAUGGUACUUUUCAAAAACCUGGGUUACAACGUGGUUCACAGUUACAAAUGAAAGAAUUUAAGAACAUAACAAAAAAAACUGAAAAAGAAGAAACAGAAAACAUUUGAAUAAAUACAUAAAUCAAAGAUAAGCAAGAUUGUUCAAAGCUUAAGAAUAAAUUGGGGCAAGGAAGCAUCAAUACAAUGUGUUACACACAACAGAAAAAAAUAGGUAUUAAACCUUCAAUAAUUGAUAAUUAAUCAUUAUAUAUACAUUUUUAUUUAUUUUUUGGCCACUUGGGGCACCGCAACAACACACAUUCCUGGUCACCUGAUGAAUAUAAGUCCAAUAUGUACUCUAAUUUUAGCUCUGUUUUAGGUCUCUGCCAGCUACCUGGAAAAAAAUUAAUCUGGCUCUUUAGCAGCUAAACGCUCCACUAUGUUCACCAUCUAGUUGCUAACUUUGUCUGUCUGCCAUUUGGUGCAGAGCAGGUAGCGUACGGUGAGUUUAUUAGAGCUUUUUUUUUUUUUUUUUGCUGAAAACAGCUGCAUGUUGCUGAGAGCGGUGAGUGAACCAAAACCAUAAAGUUGCAGUCCAGAAAACUGAAACAAUGAGCUGAAAGUUGCUUAAAAGAACUCCAAAGUCAGGUGAUAAUUUUCUGUGGGUUCAUCACUGUGAGUGAGCCCUUCCACAUUACGUCAUUUGACCCAUUCUUAAUAUAAAAAAAAAGAGCAGCUUUAAUAUAGGACUUAAAACACUCCACAUAGUUUCCUUCUUAAAAGAAAUCUUAAACUCAAGUAGGAAUGUCACUUGCUUUUGUUAAAAUAUUCACUUCUAGAUGCAAUAUUUCAUUCUGAGUCAAACCACCCAAAAUACUGUCAAGCAAACCAAAAUAAAAAAACAGCCUCCUAAGGUAUCAUCUGUAGAUUGUGUCACUGCUGUCUUGCUUGUCUUAAUAAUUGAUGCCUGCCUGGAAUUCUGUCGUGCUUCUUUCUUCAAAUUUCAGAUCGUUCAGAGUUGUUGUUUUUCCCCCCACUUGUGCUCCAGUUGGCUGGCCUCCACAGAGCUUGAAGGAAAGUCACAACAUUUGCAUUGCCACUUAUCACACUCAGGUACGCAAGAAAUUAAACCUCCAUAGCCUCAGGUGAACGCUCUGUUGGUCAGGGCACUUUGCAUUUCAGAGUCAUUACAUUGCUGUUCUGCACUGCUUGUCUUCUGCUUAGAGAGGGGGAACAGUUGUUUGUCUGUGCAACUGCCUGCAUGAGUAACAUUUCAGGAAUGAGUCCUGAGUAAUUAUCCUGUUUCGGUGAUUGUCCAGUCCCCAGUGAAGAUAUGAGAUCACACGCAAAUAUAUGUAGAGGGAUAAGCUGUUUAUUCCAAGGCUAAGAUUUUAUUCCACGCUGGGUAAGUAGAGCAAUCUUAGAAGUUACAAGAGGAUCAGUUUGUGUUCACCAGCUUGAUCUUUUCUCACAGUCGGUGCACAGCAGAGAAAGCUCCUGGUCUUGGCACAUACACAGAGCUGAGCGUCGUCUCCCCAGAAAUCAGCCCACAGUCUUUAUUCUCCUAAUACAUUAUUGAAAGCUAUUUUUGCAGCUGCACUCCAAGAACAAAGGUAUUGCAGUUGUCACUUUCAACUUCACAGACAGAAUGGGGAGGAUAUUUUGGGAAUCUUUUUUUUUUUUCCUCUCCCUGAAGUUCCCCAAGACUUGACUCCCCUCAAGCAAUUUUUGUCUUAGCAUCUGCCAAGUAUCAUGAGUGUGUUUUGAAAGCCUUUUGUUAUCAUGCUGUUCAAAAGGGCCAUCAUAGGUUUGGAAUACACCCAUUAUACGCUGGCCAUUUUGCACCAAAGCAAAUGUAAUUUUGAUAAGAUUUAAAGCUGACUUCUGUAGGAUUUUCAUUCAUGAGUUAGAUUUUUAUUUCCCUUUUAAUUUUUUUUUGUUUGAUCUUCAGUUACAUUUUGAAGAUGAUUCAGACUUCAGCUUCAUGUUUUCCUAUUUCGUCUCCUUCCUGCUUGUAGCAUGCAGCACUGAAAAAAACACAUCAGUAUGUUAAGUCCAAAUUGCAUGGCUGAUAUAUCACGCUUUCUCCCUCCAUCUCUCUCUUUCACCCCCACUCUUAAACCACACCAGACUUCAAAUGUCUUGCAGAGUUACUGAGAUGUUACACUGUCACUGUGCAAGUCUGGAUUUUAGGUUACAAAUCCUCAGAGCCCUGCAGACCAACCAAGCGAGACCCUGAGUCACCAACUGCAGUGUGUGUGUGUGUGUGUGUGUGUGUGUGUGUGUGUUUUCGUGGGCUAGGAGAGGAGGGAGUCAGACUGUAAGAGAAAGGAAAACUCAAUUAAUGUCAGCCUCACAUAACAAAGCAACAUCCAGCGUCUUUCUAACCCAGGCAUAAAAUUAAAACAUCUCUCCCUACACGAUUUGUUUGUUUGUUUUUUCUCGGCAGCAAAUAGAUUCAGUCUGCAACCUGCGCUGGUGAUUAAUUACACAACAAUUAUUAUGCCUGUCAGUUCACAGUGAGAUUAGGCCGAAGACGUCAGUACAUUUCUCCCAGAGCUAGAGGAGGUAUAAAGGGCCUGUUAGAGUCAUCAGAUGAGCCCACAGAGAAAGGAUUUUAAUUUUUUUUUACAGCCCAGUAUGUCCCAACAACCUUGGGGUGCAUUCCCAUACAUCAUUGCUUUUCCUCUUAGACUGAACACGGACCAAGCUGGUGGAACCAGUGGAGCUGCUCAGCAGCCAGUAGCAUCAGUGUACUCAGCAGCUUGUAAAUGUGUAACUCCAUCCACCUGCCAAAACUGUGUGUGACAAGUGUGUUCUAACAGGAUAAAUAAAGGUUACUUCAAAUAUACAAUCAAAAGCAAUCAUCAUUUUGAGGAAAAUAGUGGCUGUGUGCAUUGUUGCAUUUUCUGUGUACUGAAUGAUGUUUAUAUGAUGCCAAAUCGAAUUUGAGCUCGACAGAUACUGGAUUUUUAAGGCCAAUAUUAAUAAUACCCAAAAAUACAUUCUUCACAUUCUUGCAGAUGAGAAGAUCAAUAUCACUCUCA